rnacentral:rRNA from 1 species
UAACACGUGAGCAAUCUGUCCCUGUGUGGGGGACAACCCGGGGAAACCCGGGCUAAUACCGCAUAGACAGGCAUCUCUUCGGAGAAGCCUGGGAAAGAGGCCCUCUUUACAAUGGUCUCAUGCAGGGAGGAGCUCGCGGGCUAUCAGCUAGUUGGUAGUGGUAACGGCCUACCAAGGCGACGACGGCUACGGGGUCUGAGAGGGUGGUCCCCCACACUGGAACUGACAAACGGUCCAG